AAUCAAACAUGAAAUAAAAGCAGAUUUUAAAUAAAGGCUGAAAUGUUCUGAAACCAGAACAUCCAAACCGGGUCAGAACUUCCGAACCGGGUCAGAACCGGCCAGAACUGGGUCAGA